rnacentral:lncRNA from 7 species
AUAGAGAAAUAGGGAAGUAGCAAAUCUUCAAGACCAGGAUUUCUAAAGAGUGUCAGUUAAUAAACAAAGAUGAGAAUGAGUAGGGAGAAGUAAGGAUUAAAAAUAUGUGCUUCCAUAGCAUCUUAGGUGCCUUAGGGGUGGCUCAACUAGAUGUAAGCCCUCUCUCAGAAGUAUUGCAGUCUGAUGAGAAACGUGAUAUAGUAAUGGAGAAAUGGAAUAGAAGAUGGAGGAGAGUUUCCUAAAACAUCAUGCACUUAUGUACUACUGUACAUAGAUGUUAAAUAUAAAUUUUUUUUCCCUGUGAUUUUUAUAUGCCCCCAUGCAUCACUCUACAUCCUGCUGAGGCCUUCUAGUUUGCAGGCUUUCCUUGUGAUGUUUGGAUACUCACUUCUAUUGAAAGCAAAAGCUCUCUGUCAUGCAUUGUUUGCAGCCCUUAUUGUAUUGUGAGAAUCAUUACUUUAGAAUUCUAUAAAUGUGAAGAUUAUCUGAUGUUUGUGUAGGGGAGAAAAAAUAUUUGUCUGUCUUAAUAUGUGAAGGUUUAGAAAUAAGAAAAGGAAAUUAUUUUGUUUCUGAGAUGCAAUGAGGUGUGUACGUCUUCCAGCAUAGCCUUGAGGUACUACAGAAUGUUAAUGGCUCUUCAUAUUAACACAUAAGAGCAGAGACAAAUAGAAUCGCAAGCAGAAGGAGGAGGAACCCUGGUAGAAAAGUCCUAAAGAUUUUGGAUAGCUUCUUAGAGAUUUUGCAUGAAAAUCUGUGAAGAAUUCUUUUGUCACUGGGCUAAAGAAGAAGAAGAAGAAGAAAAAAAAGAUUGCUUAAAAGCCUUGAAAGAAGUGUUAACAACUUGGUAGUAGGCAUCAUUUUCCUUUUGUUAACGAGAUAAAUAGUUAUUGUACUUAGGCUUUUCAAAGAUUGUACUAAGUGGCAAGCUCCAGCUCUUUGCUUGCUUAUUUAUUUUUAUAAAUUAUUAGUGA